GGGAGGGGCAGAGAGAGAGGGAGGCCCAGAAUCCAAGGCAGGCUCCGGGCUCCGAGCUGUCAGCACAGAGCCUGACACGGGGCUCAAGCUCAUAGAACAGGAGAUCGUGACCUGAGCCAAGGUCAGAUGCUCAGUUGACUAAGCCACCCAGGUGCCCCAAAUCUUCUUCUUUUUUUUUUUAAUGUUUAUUUAUUUUUAAGACAGAGACAAAGAGCCAAAUGAGGAGGGGCAGACAGAGAGAGAGGAAGACAGAGGAUCCAAGGCGGGUUCCAGGCUCUGAGCGGUCAGCACAGAGCCUUAUGUGGGGCUCGAACUUGUCAACCACGAGAUCAUGACCUGAGCCAAAGUCCAACGCUCAACCGACUGAGCCGCCCAGGUGCCCCCUGAAUCUUCAUAUUUUAAAUGUAUCUUUGUACAUGUUGGAUGCACAAAGGCCAAAAGAACAGGGACUUCACUGUGACAGAGCUGUAUUUCUCUCUCUCCCCUCAUGGUUUAAACAGUCCAGGCGGACGUGGGGCCUUCGUGAUGUCAUGAACCAGGGUGCAUCUUGUCCUACCGACCUCCGUUCAUGGCUUCCAUCCACGAUGUCAGAUGGCUCACGCGUCUCACCACUGCCUCCAUACUCCGGCCGGCAGAACGGAGAAGGAAUUUUAAAGCAUCAUUACAUGUUUAGAAAAGACAAGACACCUCACAGAGUGAAUAUACAAUGCCGUGUGGGCCGGAUUUCCGAUCAUUCACUUCGAAUCAACUCCACAUACAACUUUCUGCUGCAGAUCAAGACAAGGAUCAGUCAUACGGAAACGUGAAAUGGUAUUGUCUUCGAAAACUCAUCGCAACGUUUCUCGGGGCGCCUGGGUGGCUCAAUCGGUUAAGCGUCCGACUUCAGCUCAGGUCACGAUCUCAUGGUCCGUGAGUUCGAGCCCCGCGUGGGGCUCUGGGCUGAUGGCUCAGAGGCUGGAGCCUGCUUCCGAUUCUGUGUCUCCCUCUCUCCCUGCCCCUCCCCAUUCAUGCUCUGUCUCUCUCUGUCUCAAAAAUAAAUGAAAACGUUAAAAAAAUUUUUAAGAAAAC
rnacentral:lncRNA from 1 species